rnacentral:rRNA from 1 species
GACGAACGCUGGCGGCGCGCCUAACCCAUGCAAGUCGAGCGAUGAAAUUUUAACCGAUCUCUUCGGAGAGAAGAUAAAAUGGAUUAGCGGCGGACGGGUGAGUAACACGUGAGAAACCUGCCUUUCACAAGGGGAUAGCCUCGGGAAACCGGGAUUAAUACCCUAUGACACAUUUCCUUCGCAUGGAAGAAAUGUUAAAACUCCGGUGGUGAAAGAUGGUCUCGCGCCUGAUUAGCUAGUUGGUGGGGUAACGGCCCACCAAGGCCAUGAUCAGUAACCGGCCUGAGAGGGUGAACGGUCACAUUGGAACUGAGACACGGUCCAAACUCCUACGGGAGGCAGCAGUGGGGAAUAUUGCACAAUGGAGGAAACUCUGAUGCAGCGACGCCGCGUGAGCGAUGAAGGCUUUCGAGUCGUAAAGCUCUGUCCUAUGGGAAGAUAAUGACGGUACCAUAGGAGGAAGCCCCGGCUAACUACGUG